GUGAUAUGCAGGCCUGGUUGCAACUGUACCCACCACUCCCCUCCCCCUACGCCUUUCAUACCCACGUACCCCUCGGCGGCUCCCAUGCCAGGUUAGCACAUGAGAAGAACUGCAUUGGGGCCACUAAGGUGUAAGACUGCAGACGGGCAGGACCUUGAGUAAUGAAUUACAAGAUUUAAUUACGAAGAGCUUCGGCAGCCUAUUUACCUAGCACCUUGAAAUCACGCACAGCAGUUUACGUCUUCCUACAACGCCGGACGCCUUAAGUUAUCACACGGGAACUCAACUCCUAAUUAUGGAAAGGCACUUCAGCAGCCACACUCCCCCAGCGUCUUCCCCACAACCUGCAUGUGGGAACCAAAGGCGACGGUGCUGCCGGUACCAUCACUGUCACCACCAACACACCUGCUACCACCGUCCCCAGCCACCUCUACUACGACACACCACCACCACCUCCACCACCACCACCACUAGCAGGCUCUCCCCCUCUUUCCCCCAAUCACACGGGGCGAAAGAUGUCGUUGGUGAAGGACUUAAUCAAAUCUGGAGUGUUUUUCCUCGCGCUAAUCAGAGACGAAGGUUGGGAGCAAGAACUCUAAUGUCAUUUCCAGGCGGUGGACGAAACAAAGCUAAGAGAAGAAAGCUACACACAAACAUGUUUUCAGAGUUUCUUGGGCUGACGACGUUACGUAUUCAAGGCGCCGCGACGGCCGUAGAAGCAGCCGUCGUGUUUUAUUUUCUACACAUUUUUUCCGUCCUCUCUAUUUAUUUUUUCCCCUUCUCCGUUUCGGGUAAAUAUACAGACGUGGAUAUAAGCCUUUCAUUUACCAAACCUUGAUCCAUUUCGAGAAAUAUCAUUG